AGAUGUAAGGGAGAUCUGGCUGCGACAUCUGUUACCCCCUUGUUCAUCAGAGUUGAUUCACCUGAUCUGGCUGGCUAGGCAAGUGUCCCCUUCCUCUUUCAUGACUCCGUGUGUGUCCCUCCCAAAGCUUCAUGUCAAAGAGGAUGACAUUUCCUGAUAGAGGAAGACUGUUCUUUGGCAAGAAAGAAGAUAGCUAGUAGGUGAUUGUUCUGGAAUUCUAACUCAAAGGUAUAUGAGUAGCUGUACUCCUUUGCUAGAAUCUCCAAACAUGCUCUCAAAGGUUAAUAGUAACCUCCCAUGGACAAAUUCAGUGACUUUGGCACAUUGCUCAUUCAUUUGUGUCAAUCUACAAGUUAGACACCGCAC
rnacentral:snRNA from 1 species